UAUAUCCGCUUCAAAGCGUGCCCUCAUUAGAAGCUUUUGUCAUGUAACCGUACCUAGACACAAGGAUGACUCAUUUUCCGCCAGCGAUUCAUUUUCCCCAAAACUCAGAAGUGACUGUUGAGGGCAAACACCCACCGGGCACAAAAGUCGGGUGUCUAGAAAUCGACGGGCUUUUAGCUGUAAUUCAAAUAGAAUAAUGACAGGUCAACAGAUGAACGUCACAAAAGCUCUUUAAGUGAACUCCACCUUUGCGUCGAGUCAUCAUUCAUGAGAGAAUCUGCAUCCCAACAUGGCUUCAAUCAAGUUGACGCUGGUGGCUUUGCUGGCCUUCACACUCUUAAUGUCAGUCAGUCCUGACUCCUCGUCCUCCUCCUCGUCUUCCUCAGAAGAGGAAUCAGAUGCUUAGA